rnacentral:rRNA from 1 species
AUGGCUUCCCACCCGUCGCCGCCGCCGGCACACCCCAUACCACCCGCUCCCACCACCAUAAGUGACCUCGACGACUACCUGCUCCGAGAGAUCUUCCUCCGCCUCCUGAACUUCCCCAGCCUCGCCUCUGCCGCCCUCACCUGCUCCGGCUUCCUCGGCGCCGUCCGUUCGUCCCGCGCCUUCCGCCGCCGCUUCCGCGCGCUCCACGCACCCCCGCUCCUCCCUCGCUUCCUCGCAUACACAAUAAUGGCCUUCCCCACCUCACGACGGCCCUUCGCCGGAUUCACCCACCUCGUAGACGACGACGAUUCUGACUGGCGGGUCGAUUUCUCCAAUCCUUCGGCCUACAAUGGCGGCUGCAUGGCCAUCAAACACCCGAUCAUCAAGCAGGGAGUUUGGUACAACCCCCAAACGAUGGCUCUGUUUCUCCGCCCCAAGGAGCACCAUGACAUGCCCGACGGCACCUCCCUUGGGUUCCACACAUUCUGCUCCCAAGAGGAUCAGAGGCCGUCCCGUGUGGUAUGUGUCCGUCAAGACUACUCAUGGGAUAGGCUACGCAUCGCUGUCUUCUCAUCGGACACCAUGGAGUGGCAGAUUUUUCCGGAGAUUGCGACGCUGCUGCCUCAGGGCUUCAGGCGCACAGCCUGCACCGUGCUAGAUGGGUUUAUCUGUUGGCAAACCGAGUCCAUCAUGGGGGUGUAUGUCAGCGAGUACGUUUUCGUGCUCAAAACAGAUACAUUUCAGUUCUCUCGAAUGGAUCUGCCGCCGCCCUUGAGAGUGGUACACCAAAAAUUUAAGAUUGGUCAGACCACUGAUGGAAAGCUCUGUAUCGUAGAUGAGAAGGAAUGCACACUUUCUGUUUGGAUCUUGACAGCGGACGAUGAUGGCGUUGACAGAUUUGUGCUGCACAAGAUGUUCCCGUUGCACUCUAGCUUUAUGGAGGUCACCAGCUGCUCAGUGGAAGAUACAAUCUCAGUGCGGCUUAUGACGGUUUUCAAUGGUUUUGUGUACUUUGAUCAGUUCAAAUCCCCUGAGUGGUUCCUGUCCUUGUCUCUGGAAACAGCAGAGCUGAAGCAGCAUCUGAAGAAUAGAAAGCGACCUAGCUUCCACGUCCAUCCCUACUCGGCCUGGCCUCCUUCUAUGGAAUACAUCUCGAGCUGCUCCUCCGUGCUUGCUGCUGCCGGCGGCGAGGGCAAGUAUGAGCAAGAGCAGAAACGUGGCCAUGGCGAAUCGAUCGACGAGAAGGAAUGCACACUUUCUGUUUGGAUCUUGACAACGGACGAUGAUGGCGUUGACAGAUUUGUGCUGCACAAGAUGUUCCCGUUGCACUCUAGCUUUAUGGAGGUCACCAGCUGCUCAGUGGAAGAUACAAUCUCAGUGCGGCUUAUGACGGUUUUCAAUGGUUUUGUGUACUUUGAUCAGUUCAAAUCCCCUGAGUGGUUCCUGUCCUUGUCUCUGGAAACAGCAGAGCUGAAGCAGCAUCUGAAGAAUAGAAAGCGACCUAGCUUCCACGUCCAUCCCUACUCGGCCUGGCCUCCUUCUAUGGAAUACAUCUCGGAGGAUUCAAAAUCUGAGGUUACUGGAAAAGGUGUUGAUUAUGUCGGUCUUGAGAGUACAGAAAAGGAUUCAUCUGUCCUUAUAAAAGCAUUACGAUCAUAUAAAGAAGCUUUGAUUAAGGAUGGUGACGCAAAUGUUGCAGAGAUAGAGGCCUUCUCACUUUGUAUUGACGCUGAGGAUGAGAAGAACUCUCUUGUGAGGAAACUCAUUGGUUUAGAUGAACUGUUAAUAACUGUGAGAGAUCGUCUUGAGGGCAAGGGCAGACUCUGA